UACGGAGGAUCCAAGCGUUAUCCGGAAUCAUUGGGUUUAAAGGGUCCGUAGGCGGUCUAGUAAGUCAGUGGUGAAAGCCCAUCGCUCAACGGUGGAACGGCCAUUGAUACUGCUGGACUUGAAUUAUUGGGAAGCAACUAGACUAUGUAGUGUAGCGGUGAAAUGCUUAGAGAUUACAUGGAAUACCAAUUGCGAAGGCAGGUUGCUACCAAUUGAUUGACGCUGAUGGACGAAAGCGUGGGUAGCGAACAGG
rnacentral:rRNA from 1 species